rnacentral:rRNA from 1 species
UACGUAGGUGGCGAGCGUUAUCCGGAAUUACUGGGGCGUAAAGGGUGCGUAGGCGGUCUUUCAAGCCAGAAGUGAAAGGCUACGGCUCAACCGUAGUAAGCUUUUGGAACUGUAAGACUUGAGUGCAGGAGAGGAGAGUGGAAUUCCUAGUGUAGCGGUGAAAUGCGUAGAUAUUAGGAGGAACACCAGUAGCGAAGGCGGCUCUCUGGACUGUAACUGACGCUGAGGCACGAAAGCGUGGGGAGCAAACAGGAUUAGAUACCCCCGUAGUCCCUGAG